AACGACUCUCGGCAACGGAUAUCUCGGCUCACGCAUCGAUGAAGAACGUAGCAAAAUGCGAUACUUGGUGUGAAUUGCAGAAUCCCGUGAACCAUCGAGUUUUUGAACGCAAGUUGCGCCCGAAGCCUUUUGGCCGAGGGCACGUCUGCCUGGGCGUCACGC
rnacentral:rRNA from 4 species